GCGGAUGUGGUGGAAUUGGUAGACACGCACGCUUGAGGGGCGUGUGGCUCACGCUGUGCGAGUUCGAGUCUCGCCAUCCGCA
rfam:Leptolyngbya sp. PCC 7376, complete genome.